GAUGAACGCUAGCGACAGGCUUAACACAUGCAAGUCGAGGGGCAGCGGGGGUAGCAAUACCCGCCGGCGACCGGCGCACGGGUGAGUAACGCGUAUGCAACUUACCUAUCAGAGGGGGAUAACCCGGCGAAAGUCGGACUAAUACCGCAUGAGCAGGGCCCGGCAUGGGAGUAUUUGCUAAAGAUUCAUCGCUGAUAGAUAGGCAUGCGUUCCAUUAGGCAGUUGGCGGGGUAACGGCCCACCAAACCGGACGAUGGAUAGGGGUUCUGAGAGGAAGGUCCCCCCACAUUGGUACUGAGACACGGACCAAACUCCUACGGGAGGCAGCAGUGAGGAAUAUUGGGUCAAUGGGCGUAAGCCUGAACCAGCCAAGUCGCGUGGAGGGAUGAAGGUUCUAU
rnacentral:rRNA from 1 species